rnacentral:rRNA from 1 species
AUUGAACGCUGGCGGCAUGCCUUACACAUGCAAGUCGAACGGCAGCACGGGAGCUUGCUCCUGGUGGCGAGUGGCGAACGGGUGAGUAAUACAUCGGAACGUACCCUGAAGUGGGGGAUAACGUAGCGAAAGUUACGCUAAUACCGCAUAUUCUGUGAGCAGGAAAGAGGGGGAGUCGCAAGACCUCUUGCUUUAGGAGCGGCCGAUGUCGGAUUAGCUAGUUGGUGAGGUAAAGGCUCACCAAGGCGACGAUCCGUAGCGGGUCUGAGAGGAUGAUCCGCCACACUGGGACUGAGACACGGCCCAGACUCCUACGGGAGGCAGCAGUGGGGAAUUUUGGACAAUGGGCACAAGCCUGAUCCAGCCAUGCCGCGUGAGUGAAGAA